AUGUGCACGCACGCACGCGCACGGGAGGGGGGAACUGGGGGUGGACGGGCCUACCUGCCCGCACACGGGCCCCGCCCCCUCCGCCUACCGCGCGCAGACCCGCCCCUGCCUGCCGCGCGCACGCGCCCUGAACAGAUUCCGCACCUAGCCAGCAGAGCACACGCGCGCGCGCCCAAACCUGUCUCUCCCUGUGGCGCGCGCACCCGCGCCCACCUGCGGGCGCGCCGACCGUACCACGGGUCCUCGGCACGCGCGCGCAUGCACGCGCGCCGGGCGGCCUCCCUCCGAGCCCCCCCCCCCCGUUCCCGCCUGCCGCGCGCACGCGCGCCCUCGGCUUCCCAGGCGUCGCAGCCCGCGCCGCCACGCUCUGGAAGCGAAGGACAGCGGAGCAAGCGCGCCACGGCGAGCGCGGGCCGUGGGAAGCUGCUCGGCGGGUCUGGCGCUCACUCGCCUGGCGAUGGCGGCUUGGCUAGCUUUCACAAUGCCAGGCAGAGCCGGACUGCCCACCCAUGCUGCGACGAGGCGAGCGCGCGCGCAGGUUGGUUGUGGACCACAGAUUGGGAAACUGAGGCCUGGGUCACUCAGGGUCCCUGUUCCCUGUCUAGCCCGGGUCUGCGCGCCUCACGAGGCCCUGCUGUGAGAAAUGAGCCGCCACCUGAAGACUGCACGGGGCAGGGAGCGAGCACCGAGGUCGGUGCUGCCGGACAGUGGUCCUGCUCUUUCUUACUCAUCAUCUACUGCAGAACAGCAUCUUAUUCAAGGGCAUCGACUUGACUAAGUUCCUUUUGAGAAAUCUUGGAAAGAAAGUCUUCAUGAUGAGCAGAGGGGUGGGCACAUUGGAGUGAUGUCUGCUGAAGGUUUCCCCAGCACUAGCAGGACUGAAGCAAUUGCCUACGUAAUGUACCACAUAUGGACGUAGAGAUGCCAGCUUCGGAUGCCGCGAUGCAUCUUCAGACUUUCCACGCAGUAGAUCAGAGAGGGUAGCGCGGUGAAAUCAAAGGGCCCGUGAUCUCGAUGCUUCCUUUCUCCAUUUCACAUGCUGAAAUAUUAAUAAAGUAGAAAAUCAAAGGAGAGCAAUUUAGGGAUUCUCGUGUCUGACUGCAGCUCGUUUCUGUGGGUCCAAUUUUAGACAAAGAAAAGAGCCAUAAUGGAAAGGAGCGUGGUGAGGGAAACAAGAAUGACAAAGGCACAGAAGCAAAAUCAAAGGGUUGGCAUCCAAACACUUUGUCUCUGUAAGGCAUUGUUCAAGCCCUCCCUCGCCCAGCAUCUCCAGCCGCGGCUGGGCAGCGCUGUCAGGAACUGGCAGCCUCCAAGCGUUGCAGUGUGCAGCUCGCUCUGUUUAUUGCCAGCUGGAGGACAGCUUCGGUUUGGAACACUCUGGUUCGAGAUGACUCUUCUGGGCUGUCUCAGAGCCAGCUUCCUCAGGGGGACCGUAGAGUUUCUUCUUCUUCUUCUUCCUGCCUUCUCUGGGACCCUCUCGGUCAAUGAGAUUGCCUUCUCCCUAGAAACCAGCCAGGAGACUGCAGAAGGAAAGCUAAAACAAACAAACAAACAAACAAAACCCAAGUCUUUUUAGUCCCUACUGGUAAGGGCACGGUGGAGUGACACUCCUGCUGUAAGGACGUGGCAAAGUCUUUUUGGAGCUGGAAUGUAGAAAAAGGCAAGACAGAGAGAAUGGAAAUGCUCGCUGGAGGCUGAAGGGCAGCCCUGGAUUAAUGAAUUUCCUUGGUGCCAGUAACAGAGCUCUGAGUCAAACAGUACGCAGCAAAGAGACUUGAUUUACUCCUGCAACCCCCAGAACUAAAGGCACGUGCACGCAGAUGAAUUGUACAAUGGUAUUGGGUUCUUUCUCUGUUUGCAGGCCGGCUGUCCCCGUGCUGGUUUAUUCUCAAGCAGGCUCCCCCCUCUUAGACCAAACAGGACAGGAGCGGCACCAAAUGACCUUCCAACUAGUCUCAGCAUCUCAUCUGAAGGCAUUCACCUGCUCCUGUCACCGUCUCAGAACCCAGCUGAGAUCAUGGGAAUAGCAAUGGGUGUGGUUAGGAUUUUCUAAAGGGAAACGGAGCCUUCACUGCCAGAAGGGGAGAGGGUGAAACCCCAACAUCAUCACUUGUCUGUUGGCCCUUGGGUCCAUCCUUUGGUUUGUUUUGAAGCAGAUGUUUCACCGGGCUAUCCCUACAGCUACUGGCUCCUCUACACAGGGCCCAGACCUGCAGUGUCUCCUCUGGAAAACAUCUGAUUCCGUCUCCGUUCACACAAGCACUUGAGAGUACUCCACUCUGAAGUUCCAAUAGGUCAUCAGCAGACGUGGUAAGUUCUUCUGAGUGUGCUGACACAGGGACGUGAAUGCUCACAAUGAACCAAGCCGCAUCCCCUCUACAGCGCCAAGAGAGAGCAAGGAUGUUCAGGCAAGCUUCCCUAUAGAGACUCGCAGCUAGUGGGGGAAGCAGCCUAAUCAUUUUUUUUUCUUUUUCUGUAGAGGUAGCACCUUCAUUUUUCUGAGCACUUUCCCAC